CGCACGAGCGCACCCCUGUCUUUAGUUGCCAACAGGUAAUGCUGGGGACUCUAAAGAGACCGCUGGUGACGAGCCANAGGAAGGUGGGGAUGACGUCAAGUCCGCAUGGCCCUUACGCCCUGGGCUGCACACGUGCUACAAUGGCCGGUACAGAGGGACGCCAAACCGCAAGGUGGAGCAAAUCCCAAAAAGCCGGCCCCAGUUCGGAUUGCAGUCUGCAACUCGACUGCAUGAANUUGGAAUCGCUAGUAAUCGCGAAUCAGCAGGUCGCGGUGAAUCCGUUCCCGGCCCUUGNACACACCGCCCGU
rnacentral:rRNA from 1 species